rnacentral:rRNA from 1 species
UGCGUAGGCGGUUUGGCAAGUCUGGCGUGAAAUCUGCACCGCUUAACGGGCAGCUGUCGCUGGAAACUGCCAGGCUAGAGGACGGAAGAGGAGAGUGGAAUUCCAGGUGUAGCGGUGGAAUGCGCAGAUAUCUGGAAGAACACCAGUGGCGAAGGCGGCUCUCUGGUCCGUUUCUGACGCUGAGGCACGAAAGCCAGGGGAGCGAACAGGAUUAGAUACCCUGGUAGUCC